rnacentral:rRNA from 1 species
UGGGGAAUAUUGGACAAUGGGCGAAAGCCUGAUCCAGCCAUGCCGCGUGAGUGAUGAAGGCCUUAGGGUUGUAAAGCUCUUUUGUCCGGGAAGAUAAUGACGGUACCGGAAGAAUAAGCCCCGGCUAACUUCGUG